rnacentral:rRNA from 1 species
GAUGAACGCUGGCGGCGUGACUAAUACAUGCAAGUCGAGCGAACAGACGAGGAGCUUGCUCCUCUGACGUUAGCGGCGGACGGGUGAGUAACACGUGGAUAACCUACCUAUAAGACUGGGAUAACUUCGGGAAACCGGAGCUAAUACCGGAUAAUAUAUUGAACCGCAUGGUUCAAUAGUGAAAGACGGUUUUGCUGUCACUUAUAGAUGGAUCCGCGCCGCAUUAGCUAGUUGGUAAGGUAACGGCCUACCAAGGCGACGAUGCGUAGCCGACCUGAGAGGGUGAUCGGCCACACUGGAACUGAGACACGGUCCAGACUCCUACGGGAGGCAGCAGUAGGGAAUCUUCCGCAAUGGGCGAAAGCCUGACGGAGCAACGCCGCGUGAGUGAUGAAGGUCUUCGGAUCGUAAAACUCUGUUAUUAGGGAAGAACAAAUGUGUAAGUAACUAUGCACGUCUUGACGGUACCUAAUCAGAAAGCCACGGCUAACUACGUG